rnacentral:rRNA from 1 species
GAUGAACGCUGGCGGCGUGCUUAACACAUGCAAGUCGAACGGUGAAGCAGAGCUUGCUCUGUGGAUCAGUGGCGAACGGGUGAGUAACACGUGAGCAACCUGCCCCUGACUCUGGGAUAAGCGCUGGAAACGGCGUCUAAUACCGGAUAUGAGCUGCGAUCGCAUGGUCAGCAGUUGGAAAGAUUUUUCGGUCUGGGAUGGGCUCACGGCCUAUCAGCUUGUUGGUGAGGUAAUGGCUCACCAAGGCGUCGACGGGUAGCCGGCCUGAGAGGGUGACCGGCCACACUGGGACUGAGACACGGCCCAGACUCCUACGGGAGGCAGCAGUGGGGAAUAUUGCACAAUGGGCGAAAGCCUGAUGCAGCAACGCCGCGUGAGGGAUGACGGCCUUCGGGUUGUAAACCUCUUUUAGCAGGGAAGAAGCGAAAGUGACGGUACCUGCAGAAAAAGCGCCGGCUAACUACGUGCCAGCAGCCGCAGUAAUAC